GAGCAAUCUUGCUGUUCCUUAACCAUAACAUAGGGCACAUUACAACGAAAACAAACGAUACUUCGAGGGGAGAAAAAACAAAAGAACAUGACAAAGAUAACAUCGUAUCAUUGCUGCAAGCCUAGUAUAUAUGUACAUAUAGAAGGCGGAGACGGAGAAGCUGAAGGCUAAACCUAUCUACAUAUGUCGUAUGGACAGAAAGGAAGCGAUUAAAAAGUUCUCUAAAGAGCAAUAGCUUCUGAUGAGUUGAGGCGUCCAUUAGCACCAGCGAAACAUCUGAAGAAACGCUUCUCGUUGUCUUCUUCUUCAUCUUCACCCUCAUUCUCAUUCUCCUCUAAUGAUCUUCCCAUGGUUUCGGGUGUGAAUACAUAUGUCACCACCAUUCCCAGAAGACAAACCGCUCCCAAAGCCACCAAUGCAAUUGUCAUUGAUCUAGGUUUUGGAUCAUUAUCGUAAUCUUUUUUAUUUGAAGCCCACAAAACCCCAAGAGACCCUAUCAAAGCACCAAUCUUCCCCAUGGCCCCGGAAAUCCCAUGACAUGUUGAUCUAAAUCUAGCUGGAAAAAGUUCGGCAGGGACUAUAAAGGUGGUAGUGUUUGGUCCAAAAUUGGCAAAGAAGAAAGUGAGUGCAUAUAGGAACAAGAAACCUCCGUUAGUGUUCUGACCCCAAUAAUGGUAAGGUAUCCCAAGGGCAAAAUAAACUAUACCCAUGAAGAGAAAGCCCAUGAUUUGGAUUUUCCUUCUUCCAACACGAUCGAUGAAAUAGACAGUGAAGUAAUACCCAGGAAUGGUGGAGCAGACUGCGACGAUGGCUUGGAAGCGGGCGAUUUUGAAAGCUGCUUUAUAGACGUUGUCCUUAUCAUUUAGUUUAAGGAACUGGCUGUAAAUCUGUGACUGGAAGAGGUUACUGCUGUAGAAGACUAUGUCAAGGAGAAACCAAUUGAGAGAACAAGAGAAGAGAUCACGGCCGUGGCGGCGAAAGAAUUUUCUGGAGAGAAGGGGAUAGGUUGGUCGAUCUUGUGGCCAUGGCUCGUCUUCUGCUAUUUGGCUCAUUGAAACGUCUAAUACCUUCUCCAUGUCCUUUGCUGCUUGUAGGACAUUAUUCUCCACGAGGGCUGUGUAUCUGGCAGUUUCAGGCAUCAUCAUACGCCAAUAAUAAGUGAGAGCCGCCGGAAUUGCACCCAGCAUCAGUAUCAACCUCCAUGAAAUAUCGGCGUCCUCAGGCGUAUGAUCCUGGUUCAAAUUCCUUGAUGCUAUCCAGAAUAUCUUGCACACCACCAUGGUCACCGCUGAGCUCGCCAAGAUCCCAAAUCCUUGCAUCGAAAACACUCCCGCAAUGAAAGACCCUCGAGUCUUCCUGUUCGCGAACUCCGACAUGAUUGUCGCCGAUAACGGAUAGUCCCCUCCGAUCCCCAGACCCAGUAAGAAUCUGAAAAAUCCCAAACUCAACAGAACGCAGUUACGGGUCCUGCAUAUCGAAAACCCACAUCCCGUAGAACUCAACACCAUCAGCAUCAAUGCGACUCCAUAAACGCUGCGCCUUCCCUUUCGGUCACCUAGUCUACCGAACACCACCUGACCUAUUGCGGUGCCGAGAAGGGUGGUGCUGACCAUUAAAGCGACUACACCGGUUGGGAUUUCGUAUUUGUUGGGUUCAGGCCUGUCCUCGUAGUACAUCCUUCCUAUAAGUUUCAUAAUUGGAGGGAUGCAGAAGAAAUCGUAGGCGUCAGUGAAGAGGCCCAUCCCUGCUACGAUGAUGGCUUUGAAGUGGUAAUACUGAGUUCUUGCAGAGUCAAGGGCAGAAAGGACUUUUAACGGCAUUGUUGCUGCUGAUGUUAAGAAGUUGGAAAGUGGAAAGGAAAUGAAAAUGGGUAAUCUGAUGUUGGAGCGAUUGAAAAUGGAGUUUUUGAAUUUUAUAUACAGAAAUGAAGAAAGGAAAUUUAUUUGUGAAGGUAAGCUAUGAGAAAUUUCGAUGAAAAACAAAGCGUGGACUUUUGACUAUGAUUCUAUAGAAGAUGCGAAUCAG
rnacentral:misc_RNA from 1 species